GUAACCGGCCGGCGGUAGGUUCACCAGUGGACCGGCGCACGCUUGCCAUAACUCCGGAUUUAUGAUCUUCUUCUCCAAUCCACCUGCAAUUUCACCAUCUGUCAGUCGCUCAUUCACGGUAUGUCAGGGCUAAAGAUGUGAUGGAAUUUGAAGAGAGAUUGAAGAUACUGUAGGGAGUGAAUUUUAUGAUAGUUCGAUUGAAAUUAAGCUUGAGAUGGAAUUCACGAAACAAUUCCAAAUGAAUUUCUGAGAGUUCGAUAGAAAUGAAGUUCUUCAAGCUAUUGAAUUCACAGAAAUUCUUUAAGCUAUUAAGAAAAUUCCUAAUCUCUCUAGUUUAACGGAUUGUAGAGAAAUUGAUUCACGAGAACUCGAUUAAAUGAAGGUAAGCUCGAGAUCGAAUUUGCAGGAGUAAGUUCUUGAAUGUUCUAGGAAAAACUUCCUAAUCGCUCCAAUUUGAAUUGAAGCUCGUGAUGAAAAUUUGAGAAAUUCUCGAAUAGUUGGGGGGCUGUUCCCAAUCUCUCUGAGCUCGAUGAGAUUAAGCUCGAGAUGAAACCGAGGAAGAACAUUAGGAUAUACGAAUCUCACUGUUCUGUGAUUUUCAUCUCUUAGAGAAAGAGAUAGAUAAAGAAAAAAGAGAAAAGCGUACCUUCGUUAGAAUUAGGCGCGGCGGCGGCACCGGCGGCACCGUUCGCCGGCGUCUUCAUUACUUGAACUUCCACAGGUGAUUGAAAUAGAUAUUAAAACCAAACGAAAACUAGAAACACUAACUGAAAUCUCACUGGCUCAUCUUCUCCGGCGAAAAGGAAAUUUCCCAGUAACUAAAACAGAUCGUAUAGCCAAAAGUUCUGGAAAAAGUCAGCUUUAGCAAUCACUCUGCCACUUCCUAGAUCACCUCCAAAAAGAAGGAAAGUCCUUCAAAUUUUCCCGGAAAAGUAAAAAGAUAAAAACAACGAAGGAAAUGAACAAGGUCAACAACAACUAUGGAACUCCGGCGAAGGAUUCCGGCAAAGUGACCGGAAAAGCAAAUCGGAAAACUAAAAAGAAUCCCCCCAAAAAAGAAAAAACAAAAAAAACAAAAACAAAAA